rnacentral:RNase_P_RNA from 2 species
UGAGUCGGCCGGGUGGCCGCGGCGAGGGACGUUCCGGCGUCUCCGCGUCGAGGAAAGUCGGGACUCCAGAGGGCAGGGUGCUGGCGUGAGCCAGGUCGGGGCGACCUGACGGACAGUGCAACAGAGAGAGACCGCCGAUGGGCCGGGCGACCGGCCACAGGUGAGGGUGAAACGGUGCGGUAAGAGCGCACCAGCGUCCGGGGUGAUCCGGGCGGCUCGGCAAACCCCACCCGGAGCAAGGCCGAGCAGGAGGCACGGGCGGCCCGUCCGCCGCACCGGCAACGGUGCGACAACCUCCGGGUAGGCCGCACUAGAUGGAUGGCCACCCAUCGCCGCAAGGCGAGGACAGGAUCCCGCUUACAGGCCGACUCACCAU